rnacentral:lncRNA from 1 species
GUCUACUCACAUCUACGGAUCAUCACCAGUGAACCCCCUCGGCUUUGGGAUAGACAACAGCACCUGCACAAAAACCUAAAUCAAAUAAAAAACAUCCCCACAAGAAGAAAGUCUAGAGAUGGAGCCUUCAAUCUGUUCCAAGAAAGCCUCACCUCCCGGUUGAUAGCGAAGGUUGGGCAGUGGUGGGCCACCACGUCAAACCACACCGACAUUGACUGUAAAACCAUGCCAAACAAACACACAGAUCAGAUGGCUUUGUUUGGCUACGGUUUGUUUGUGCAAGUUAUUGAUAAGAUGGGCAUUUUACCUAUACCUCAUAGUCAUUGUCAUUGACUUCGUGGCCUCACCUGCUGGUAUGCAUGCCUGUUGGAAGGUGUUGCGUGCAUGUACAGUGGUCGUGGGCGAGGCAUCUCGCCUUCGCUUGUGCAAUAGGCACAAUAGGGUCAGUCUUAUGAAAGAUUCCAAGAACUCAAACAAAAAGAUGUACACAUAGAAUUGCUUCUACAAUGUAACAACUUAACCAGAAAUUUUUCUUAGGGAGGUGCAUGCAACAUACACAUCAUUUCAAAUAAUCUAAUUCUGGUAAAGGUCAUGUAGAUCUUCAAUUGCAGUAGAAUUACAAAUAAACAUUUACCCUAACAUUUACAUGCGAGAAGAAAAGCCCCAAUGUUGUUACUCGUGUGAACGCGUAGACCGAGGGCGCCACACCCUCCAGGCAUCAAUUCUAACAAAUAAAAGAUCCAACACACCUCUUAGCAGCGAAGGCACUUCGCCG